rnacentral:tRNA from 1 species
GGUAAAGUGGCCGAGCAGGCGGCGGGUUGUAGCCCCGAAGACGGAGGUUCGAGUCCUCCCCUUACCAG